rnacentral:rRNA from 1 species
GAUGGGGAGCGAAAUUUAGUAGCGAAGUAGCUGAUUUCACACUGUCAAGAAAAGUCUCUAUCGAGGUUAAAGGUACCCGUACCGCAAACCGACACAGGUGGGUGAGGAGAGUAUCCUAAGGCCAGCGAGAGAACUGUUGUUAAGGAACUCGGCAAAAUGACCCCGUAACUUAGGGAUAAGGGGUGCCACCAUCAGGUGGCCGCAGAGAAUAGGCCCAAGCGACUGUUUACCAAAAACAUAGGUUUCUGCUAAGUCGCAAGACGAUGUAUAGGAGCUGACGCCUGCCCGGGGCUGGAAGGUUAAGGGGAUCUGUUAGAGCAAUCGAAGCAGGGAACUUAAGCCCCAGUAAACGGCGGCCGUAACUAUAACGGUCCUAAGGUAGCGAAAUUCCUUGUCGGGUAAGUUCCGACCCGAACGAAAGGCGUAACGAUUUGGGCACUGUCUCAACAACAGACUCG